UACGUAGGGGGCAAGCGUUGUCCGGAUUUCUUGGGCGUAAAGAGCGUGUCGGCGGUUAGGUAGGUCCGUUGUGAAAACUCGAGGCUCAACCUCGAGACGCCGAUGGAAACCAUCUGACUAGAGUCCGGAAGAGGAGAGUGGAAUUCCUGGUGUAGCGGUGAAAUGCGCAGAUAUCAGGAAGAACACCCGUGGCUAAGGCGGCUCUCUAGUACGUGACUGACGCUGAGACGCGAAAGCGUGGGGAGCGAACAGG
rnacentral:rRNA from 1 species